UACGGAGGGUGCAAGCGCUAUCCGGAUUCACUGGGUUUAAAGGGUGCGUAGGAGGGCAGGUAAGUCAGUGGUGAAAUCUCCAAGCUUAACUUGGAAACUGCCGUUGAUACUAUCUGUCUUGAAUACCGUGGAGGUGAGCGGAAUAUGUCAUGUAGCGGUGAAAUGCUUAGAUAUGACAUAGAACACCAAUUGCGAAGGCAGCUCGCUACACGAAUAUUGACUCUGAGGCACGAAAGCGUGGGGAUCAAACGGG
rnacentral:rRNA from 1 species